UAUGGAAAAGCAAAUGUAGGCAUGAGUAACGAUAAUGCGGGAGAGUAACCCGCACACCGCAAGACCAAGGUUUCCUGAUCAACGCUAAUCGGAUCAGGGUUAGUCGGGUCCUAAGGGUAAGCCGAACGGCGAUCUCGAUGGAUAAUCGGUUAAUAUUCCGAUACUAACAUAUACCUCGAUGGAGAGACGAAGGAACGUAAGUGCCGCCACCUGACGGAAUAGGUGGUUAAAGGGCGUAGAUAUAGGGGCAGAUUAAGAGUUAGUCCUUGCUGAAACCUGACAGUACAGAGAGCCUACGGGCAAUUUGAUAGUGCACCCAAGUCGACUUCCGAGAAAAUCUUCUAAGUUAUAGUAUAUGUUACCCGUACCGUAAACCGACACAGGUGGUCGAGGAGAGUAUCCUAAGGUGCUCGAGUGAAUCACGGUUAAGGAACUAGGCAAAUUAACCCCGUAACUUCGGGAAAAGGGGUCCCUAUGAAAGUAGGGCGCAGCGAAGAGGUCCAGGCGACUGUUUAUCAAAAACACAGGGCUCUGCAAAUUCGAAAGAAGACGUAUAGGGCCUGACACCUGCCCGGUGCUGGAAGGUUAAGAGGGGAUGUCAUCGCAAGAGAAGCAUUGAAUCGAAGCCCCAGUAAACGGCGGCCGUAACUAUAACGGUCCUAAGGUAGCGAAAUUCCUUGUCGGGUAAGUUCCGACCUGCACGAAUGGUGUAACGAUCUGGACACUGUCUCAACCGUGAGCUCGGUGAAAUUGUAGUCCCGGUGAUGAUGCCGGGUACCCGCAACGGGACGAAAAGACCCCGUGAACCUUUACUAUAGCUUAACGCUGAAUUUGGGUACACAAUGUGUAGGAUAGGCCGGAGGCUUUGAAGCGGGCACGCCAGUGUUCGUGGAGCCGACGUUGAAAUACGGCCCUUUGUGUAUUUGAGUUCUAACCCUGCGAAGGGGACACCGUUUGGUGGGUAGUUUGACUGGGGUGGUCGCCUCCAAAAGCGUAACGGAGGCUUCCCAAGGUACCCUCAGCACGAAUGGUAACCGUGCGCGGAGUGCAAUAGCAUAAGGGUGCUUGACUGUGAGACAUACAAGUCGACCAGGUACGAAAGUAGGGUAUAGUGAUCCGGUGGUUCUGCGUGGACUGGCCAUCGCUCAAAGGAUAAAAGGUACUCCGGGGAUAACAGGCUGAUCGCCGCCAAGAGCUCAUAUCGACGCGGCGGUUUGGCACCUCGAUGUCGGCUCGUCACAUCCUGGGGCUGGAGAAGGUCCCAAGGGUUCGGCUGUUCGCCGAUU
rnacentral:rRNA from 1 species